CACAGUUUUACACAACAAUGCCCUAACAACACUCCUUCCUUUCUUCGAAACUCACGCACUUCUUCCUAACAAUUCCUUGAAAAGUGAAAAGCUGAGCUCAUCACCCCAAUGGCGGCAGCAAUCUUCACCUAACAUAGAGCUGCUCAUCAUCCGUGCUCUUACUCUCUCCCCCAAUAACACUCGUUGGUCAACCUCGUUCCAACCCUCUGUCGCAACCUCUCCGUAGGUGCCACCUCUGUCGGUGCUCCCUAUGUCCGCGCUCCUUCUGUCUCUCCUGUAAACUUCUGUCCCUUCUUCGGCGGUGACUCACUCUGGUAAAGCCUCCCUCGGCGCUCACUCCCUAUCGCAAACCUUCCGUCGACGCACACUCGGUACCGCAAACCCUCAAUUGUCGCUCCUCCCUCCAUGGUUCAGCACCCGUCGCGUUGCCAUCUCCCUCUCUGAAGCCGUCGCGCCGCCGUCUCCCUCUCCCUCACUUGUCGCACCUCCGUCAACCACCUUCAGCAUUCGCAGCGCUGUGCUGUAGUAGUGCUCAGCUACUGAUAUGAGGUGCUCAUUCUGAGUUCAUUCUUUGCUGAAUCUUGUUUGGUAGAGAAUACCUCCAGAUUUUUUGCAAGGUGACAAAUUUAGAGCACCAGCAGAUAAUUACAUUAGGCCUCUCCUAACUAAGGGUGAAAAAAGAAACCCCUUUAACUCUUAUGUGGACUUUGUUUUUGUUGGCUCAGCAAUAUGACAUACAAGGCCAAUAUGAAGUUGCUCUUUCCAAAAUUGAUGAGGCCAUAGAACACAUUCCUACUGUUAUUGAUCUAUAUUCUGUCAAGGCUAUAGCAUUAACGGUGGUAUCUACCGGUGUUGCUGUGGCUACGAUGACUGAUUUGCAACUCCAUUUUUUGUUGCAUGUGUGGCAUUGGCGUGGAUUGUACCAAAUGCUAUAAAUAAAAUCCUCUGGUCUCAGCUGCAGCAGCAAGAGAACUAGACAGCUUUGUCAUGUGACAGCAACUAAAAGAAAUGAAUUUGAGAAUUAUUUUUUGAAGCGAGAGUUGCUCAUGGGAAUAUAUGAGAAGGGUUUUGAAAGGCCUUCUCCUAUCCAAGAAGAAAGCAUUCCAAUUGCUCUUACUGGUAGUGACAUUCUUGCAAGGGCUAAAAAUGGGACAGGCAAAACAGGAUAAUAAUGUUAUUUAAGGCUGAUAAGCUUUUGUCCCCAAAAUUCCAACAUUCUAUAGUUAUUAAUUUUGAUUUUCCCAAGAAUUCAGAAACUUAUCUCCAUAGGGCCAGUCGCUUAGGGAGCUUUGGGCAUCUUGGUUUAGCAGUUAACUUGAUCACUUAUUGGGACCACUUUAAUUUAUAUUUUGCUAACAUUAGUAACAUCAGUUUGGGGGGAAUGAGAAGAGUUUUCAAUUUCCCUCAGGGACAGAGAGAACAGUUGGCCUGCACUUGGACGUCUCACACCCUAAUUUACUUCCGAAAGAGAUUAUUCGUGAAGUGUAUUGUGGAGCUUUCCAUUUGGUUCCUUUAUCCGAGGAAGGCCUAGUACAAGCUUGGGGUGAUUCAAUGACAUUUCUUAAUUUCUUUUUUAGAAAUUUAUUUUUGUUUGUUUCUAAAUUUCAUGUACACUGUCGUUGCAUGUAUAGAGAUGACAGGGCUAAUUUGGUUUGAAUUCUAUUGAUGUAAUAUUACUUUUUAUCGAUUAAUUUUUUAAAUGACAUUUACAUAUUGUUGUUAA